GGCCGCUUGAGACAAUGGAAUGGCAUGGACUCCACGACUCGUGAUAGAGACAGGAUCGACGUGCUAAUUAUUAUGAUUUCAUUAUCCGAUUCAAGAAAUGCACCCAUAUCCCUAAACGGCCAAAGCUAGCAGUCAAUAACUGGUUUUUGGCCAAAAACUGCGCGAAAGGACCAAAUCCAAUUAUGCCGAUUCGUAAAGUUUUUGCUUGGGAACAAGAAGACGACGAAGGAGACAUGGGUGCGACAGAAAAAGAUAAGACGGCGGCGAACGUGAGGGAGAAGAUGUAGCUGAUGUGGGUAAUUGUCCUGAGUAAAUUUGUGACGUCCCUUCCCCCUCCCCCCCUGCGCCCCCUCCCAAAAAAAGAAAUUGAUGAAAUGGUCUCCAGGCGGACGAGUAAACGCGGGAACGCUAUUAAGUAGUGUUUGCUCAUGAAAAUUAAAAAUUUUUACGGUUUAAAUUAAAAUUGGAGUUUUGAGUUACAUUUGAUCAUAUAUAUAUAAAUUAAUGUUGUUUUGAUUUUUUGUGAUAGAAAUGAAAGUGAAAAAAGUUACCUGUUUGCA